rnacentral:lncRNA from 1 species
CUAAGUUAGCUGCAGGAACAGAAAUGGAUUCCCAGUGGCUUCACUAGAGAGAAGAGCCUGUCUUUUGCAGCAGACACAGCUGCCCAGGAGCAACACUGAAGGCUGCAAAGGGAAGUGGUGAAGGACUCGCCUGGGUUACACCGCAAGGCCACGGGAACAGGACAGAAGAGACACAAUUUUUAAGUUCGCCUCCAUAGUAGUCUGCCCCAAGUCUAUCAGACAAAAGGCACCUCCUUUCUCAGCUGUCUGGGUCCAAGGAAUGGACAGACCCUUGCUGAGUCCUCUCAAGAAACCCUUGUUUGGCCCUGACUCUAGGCUGGGAAAUCAAGGCAAGUGAGACACAGCCCAGUAGUGGAGACAGAUGUACUCUACACAUGACAUCCCAACUGCUGGAGCCCCUUUUCCUGGAUAUGGGACAAUCCAAACGGUCUUAGCAAGCACUUGGCUACAACAUGAAGCAUCAUCGACUCCCUGGGUCAGAGGCUCUCUCUUUGCUCCUGACUCUGCCAGGAAGCUGUCUCAGUCAGAAUCCUGCAUCUCUUGACAUCUCUUUAACCCUUGUUAAUCUCCAUUUAUUAAAACAGAAUCAGGCUCUGCCUUGGCAGGUGGCCCUAUUAGCUAGAGUUUAACGGUGUUAUUUAAAUCAAGCACGAAUGAACUCAAUGGAAUUAUUGUUUUCAUUACACUUGGCUUCGAAGAUCCAUGCUGCCUCUGUCACCAUCCCUUGGAAAUGAAUUGUUAACAUCCAAAAGUGAGCCGUUUAAAUGAAGACGUUAAGUGAGUAGAUGUACAGAGGUGCAUGUUUCGCUGGUGUGAAUGUAUGUACUUCACGUGACCUCAAUGCCUGAGGAGUCAGAAGAAGGACGCAUUUGAAGCCACAUUGCCAGAAGCAGCAUAUCUCCUGAUCUCCACAGUCAUUGUCACUGUAACACUGGGGAUCAUCUUGCCUGAUGCAGCGGACGUAGUCGGGCGGGCAAACUCUUUUCUCUUUAUUUGGUGGAAGAAGGCACAAGGGAUGGAUAAUAUGCAGAACUCUUGGCUCCUCCAGCACCAUGUCUGUCUGCAUGCCACCAUGCUUCCUGCCAUGAUGAUAAUGGAUGGAACCUCUGAAAGUAUAAGCCAGUCCCAAUCAAGUUGUCCUUUACAGGAGUUGCCUUGGUCAUGGUGUCCUUUCACAGCAGUGGAAACCCUAACUAAGGCACCAACUUUCAAAAUAUGCAGAAAAUAUUAAAAACCAGGCCCCCCCCCCCGAGCUUGCUGGAACUUUCUGCAAGGCUUUCAAGUGUUCUGAGAGCCUGAAAUGACUAUGAGGAAGAAGAAGACGAUCAGAAGGUGUUGAAGAGAGCCUGGGAGACAUUGAGGAGUUGAGACUGAAGGUUUCCAGGCCGUGUUAGGAACAUGGGUUGCAAUGGGCUGAGCCUACUGCAGCUAUCCAGGUCAGUCUUCAGCAGAGAGACUGACUAGUUUCAAAAUGACAGAACCAACCCCUCCCUCUAGUCUCUAUAAAAAAAUCCAAGGGUGUGACGUUAUUUACUGUAAUUACUUCAACUCAGGCAUGUGAAGGAAUUGUGCAUAUAUUUGGGAUAAGGUUGAAUUUUAUGUCAUUUUAGUCAAAGAGAGGAUAAUUCUUGAAAAUUAUAUCUACUGCCAACUCCUAGGGAUGGCAUCACCAGCUCGGGUAUAGGCUUGCUGUGUGCCAAGUGUACUGGUAAGAAGGAGUUUGUUCCAGGAAGGCUACCCAGUUUGCUGAAGCAAGCAGAGAGCCUUGCACAAGAUGAUAUAACUCAUCCCUGCUUAACAGUAAUUAUUUAUUGGCUCACAGUGUCAUUGUGUUAGUGACUACAGCAGCCAUAAUUCAACAACAAAAAUAGUCCUGUUCUGUUGUACUUCAUGUGGCUGUCCAAUAAAAAAUGCACGUUUAUUGCUAUGGAGUUUAAAAUGCCCACGUCUUAUCAGAGAGGAGAAAGAACUGAGCUUUGGAUAGCAUCUUUUCCCCAGAGAAGAGUAAAGUUGACACAUGUCGGAGGACUCACGGCUGCUGGAAUUUCUUUCUUUUAUUUUUUAAAGUAUUAUUUUAUUCGUGUAAGUGUUUUGCCAGCAUCUAUGUCUUCGCACUAUGUGCAGGUCUGGUGCCUGAGGGGUCCAGACGAGAGCACUGGGUCUCCGGGAACUGGAGUUACAGAUCAUUGUGAGCCACCAUGUGGGUGCAGGGAAUCGAACCUGGGACCUCUGGAGGAGCAGCCACUGCUCUUAACCACUACACUAUUUCUCCAGGUCCUCUUUUAUCUUUCUUUGUUAGUCAAUGUUACCAUCAAACGAAGAAGUUCAGCUUCACUAAGAACACACUGAGAAGUGCAGUGUAUCCAUUUGAUGUAAAUGACACUACUAAAUCUGUACCUAACAUUUUAUACCUUGUGACUGUUAGAUUGCAAAGCAGGUCCCUAAGAUGGCGGUGCAGCUGCCAGUACCAUAAGAUGGCUCCCUGAGUGGACCUGGGGCAGAUAGCCAUGAGUAAAUGGAAAUCUAAUGAUCAGCAUUUCUCAGAAACCCUGUGACUCAGGGACCUUGCUUAUCAGAUAACUGCAGUUUCCAAGGUGUCCCCUAAAUGGCCAUCUACCACAGGCAAAAGGACAUCUGAUACUCAUAAACUGGCCUCACUGCAUCAGGCACAAACCCUUUCCAGUAGGCUUGCCCUGGGGAUUCUCUUCUACCCAAGACAAAAACAAAACCUCCUGAGAGGAAAGAAGGGGUCCGCUCUUAAGCAUCCAGGAACUUUGCAAAGCCCUUUUACUCUUCUGGGUGGGCUGCUGUUCACUUCCCUUGUGAGACAGCUCAGCAGCUUGUUCUCCAAUAAACUUUUUCCACGCA